rnacentral:rRNA from 1 species
AUUGAACGCUGGCGGCAUGCUUUACACAUGCAAGUCGAACGGCAGCGCGGGCUUCGGCCUGGCGGCGAGUGGCGAACGGGUGAGUAAUACAUCGGAACGUGCCCAGUAGCGGGGGAUAGCUCGGCGAAAGCCGGAUUAAUACCGCAUACGACCUGAGGGUGAAAGCGGGGGAUCUUCGGACCUCGCGCUAUUGGAGCGGCCGAUGGCAGAUUAGCUAGUUGGUGGGGUAAAGGCCUACCAAGGCGACGAUCUGUAGCUGGUCUGAGAGGACGACCAGCCACACUGGGGCUGAGACACGGCCCAGACUCCUACGGGAGGCAGCAGUGGGGAAUUUUGGACAAUGGGCGAAAGCCUGAUCCAGCAAUGCCGCGUGUGUGAUGAAGGCCUUCGGGUUGUAAAGCACUUUUGGCGGGAACGAAAAGGACUGUGCCAAUACCACGGUUCGAUGACGGUACCCGCAGAAUAAGCACCGGCUAACUACGUG